rnacentral:ncRNA from 1 species
UUUAUAAAGCCAUUGUGCAAGGAACUCAUUUUCAGUCUCCGAAAGAUAUCGGUUUAAGAUCAAUAAGAACAGAUAAAUCUACUUUUAAAUAUCCAGUAUUUCAGGAACGCCGACAGUCUCACCAGUAUUAAAUGGAAUUGUUUGAUAACACCUAAAACCUCUUUCAGGAGGCUCGUUCGGCGUACAGUGCGGUGCGAAGCAAUUCUGAUGUGCAGAUCGAUUGUUUGACUUUUGUAUAGGAGUGAAAAACUAAUUGGACAAUCUAAUAGCUGGUUCCUUCUGAAGUCUCUCUCAGGAUAGCUGGAGUACGUAAUGAAACUGUUAUAUUCGGUACAGAAAUGAAGAAUUGUGAGACGUUCAAACUUUCGAUGAGUAUGGCGUCUCGCUCGCUUGAAUGAAGCAUAGACAUUGAAUGUGUGCUCCAAGUGGGCCAUUUUUGGUAAGCAGAACUGGUGCUGUUUCCACUCAAACGCCAUCCAUUUCAAGGCUAGUUGAAGAAAUGCACUACAAUGGAUGAAAAACCCGCUUAGGUCCUCGUGAUGUAUGGAAAU